CACUGCUGCACUAGUGCAAUAAGUUAGAAUGAGAAAAAAUAUAUUUGUCUUAUUCUAACUUAUUGCACCAGUGCAGCAGUGCAGGAAUAAAAAACAGACCUUAUUUCAUUUCUCGGCGUAGAGUGACUUUAUAUUUGUCAGUCGUCCGUUUGAAACAAAACUGAGUCAAAUGAGCAUAAUUACAUCAAUAUUUGAAGUUUAAACUAAAUAAUUACUUCGAAAAUUAUUAUUAUUUGAUGUUAGAUCUAACAAUUACUAAAAUCUAGAAAGCACCGGCAAGACAAUUAUACCAAGAAUCAACAUUAUCAUAAAUCAAUUAAACGAGAUAUGUUAAUUUUCUUAUUACACUCUCUUCCACAAUGUUAUUCGUCGCAAUCGAUUAUUCUACUUAAAGUACUAUCAGUUUAUUCUACUUAAAGUACUAUUACUUAAAGUAGUAUCAAUAUUGAUUUUUUUAAACAUGUCACAAAAUUAUCUAUUUUGCAAAUUAUAACAAAUGUAUAGCACGAUGGAGGAUCCUACAAAAUGUGAAGAUACUGAAUCUAGCACUGCCAUUCCAACAUGUUCUCAAGUGAAUCAAUUGAGUUUUGAUAUAAAGUCUUUACCAGAUAGUAAGAAUACACAGGUACGCAUUGUCCGGGGUACCAAGAAGUUCAAAACUGACAAUGAUUCUUGCAACAUUGAGAAAAAGGAUGUAAAAGAGGAAGAAACGGCAGAAGUGAAAGUAAAAUCUCUCAAACGUUCCUGUGAAUUAUGGUCUAUGGAGGAUAAAAAUACUUUUUUUAAAGCGCUCAACGAAUAUGGUAAAGAUUUUGAUGCACUGCAAAGCUAUUUUUUGAGUCAAGGAAAGAAACGUGGGCUUUCGGAUGUUAUGAUAAAAAAUAAAGAGCAAAUUCGACAUUUUUACUACAGAACGUGGCUCAAGAUAUCAAAACAUCUUAAAUUUUCAGAAGAUGUCAAAAAAACAACCCAGGAAUUAUAUGGACUAAUAAAUUAUGGUGAACUUAGAAGAAAAUUGCCCCGCAUUCACGAGAAAGUUCAUUUAAGAUUGAAUGAAUUGGUAUAUUGGGGAUCUACACAGGUUAGACUUCGAGGAAAAACUAUGAGAAUUAAAACACCAAUAUGCAGAGCACUUAGAAAAUUAAACCAGUUAGAAGAUUGGCAAGAAGAGAUUAAAUUACCAUCUAGAAUAACAAUAGAAUUGCGACCGCGUAACAACAUGGCUUGGUGGCAAGUGCAAGCAGCAUCUAUGAAUCCUAGAGUCCGCACGCUACUACCCAUACAAAGACGCCUCUCAAGUUUAUUAAUAUUUUUGCAACAGCGAUGGCGACUCGCAAAAUAUACCACGUGCUCUACUGUGGAUCUUGUUAAUGACGUAAAAGACACUUGUUUAUUACGAGUUGCUCCCCCGGAAGGAUGUAAAAUCGCUUUACCGAUGGUUAAUCUUGGAGAAUAUCUCACUAGCAACAGCGUCAGCUUGAACUCAUACGAAAAGCGUCUCGGUUUGAAGAGCUCGAAGGAAGAUUUGUUGGGAUCCGUCCAAUACUUAAAAGGAGUAGGGAAAAAAGGCAUUAAACGAUAUAAAUCAGAUAAAAAGGUCUUAAAUCGUACUGACGAAAAUUGUACGCUGCCAGAUGUCAGUAGCGACGUGGACCUCUUGGAAACGGGAAGCAAUAUAUCCGAAAAACCUACAAUUAUAAAUAAUAUAGAGAAAUCGUCGUCGGAACAUCACUCAGAACCUAAUAGAUUUCCUGGUAGAGAAACUAUUGAAAGGAUUCGAAAGGGUUGGAAUGUCGAGGAAGCGAAUACGAUUACUGUAGGUGAUCUUUUUCUAAUGUUUGGUCGUGAAUCAAAGAUUAUACUUGAAUACUGGUGGGAGUGGCUGCCUACCGAACAAUACACAACUGAAUCAGCGUCAUCGAGUAUCAUCCGUGACAAUAGUUUAUGUUUGGUUUUACAAAAACUAUUGUCACUGGCAAAACACAAUUAUGGCACAAACAAAGUAUACGAUAACACAUCGGGAAGUAACGAAACGGUAAUCUCAUCUCGAGUCCCAUCUAUAAAGGAAUCUACUUUUAGAAGACCUCUUAUCCCACAAACAUAUCAUAAGAUUGGUACAGCUGACGCAUUUAAGACCCAACUUGAUAAAUUUAAAACACGUUUUUCCAAACGAGGAAGAACAGUGAGACAAAAAAGUCUUGUUAUACAAAGAGAAUUGCCCAUUGUAUCUGCACCGAACAUGGCAUCGGAAAACUUGACUGGCACUAGUAAAAUCUCCAGUGGAUCUUCAUUAUGUCAAAUGCAAACUGAUAAAAUAACAGUAAAUGCAAAUGAGGUUCAAGACAAAUCUUUUUUGGACGCCUUAGAAACGAGCGGAGAAGCAAAAAAUUCUAAUUCAAUUAUUAGUGCUACUCAAAUUCUUAAAGAAGGCGAACAUCAAUGGUUAAAUAGUGAGGUUGCAGAUUUUUCAUUGAGCAGUUUCUUAGGGCAGCUUGAAUCGCCUAUGAAAGGUUCGCAAAGAAGUCAAGCGGGCGAACAAAUCAUGGAAGAUAUUCGUCCUUCUUCUGAUGUUGUGUCACAUAUGCAAUGUCUUAUGGGAGAAAAUAGUGUCGACUAUAUGGCAAAAUUUGCAAAUCUUGCGUCUCAAAUAGCUUCCGAUAACAAUAAAAAAUAGAAGUACGAGAAAAACAUUUAUCGCCAAAUAAUGGAGAAAAGUCAUAAGUUCUAAAGUAAACUGAAGUCUCAAAAGGACAAAUAAUAGAAUAUCAUCUACAUAUCGAUAAUAAAUCGGAAUUUCGAAUUUUAAUGCUUUCAACGCUUUGUCCUUGAGGUUCUGCAACACUAAAUCAGCCAGAAUAAGUGACAGAGAAGAACGGCUAACCACCAAACGAUGGGACUGGACUACCAAAGACCACCAAACAACCACCAAACAAUACCAAUUGGUGAAAAUUGAUAAAGCUGAAGUUGGCUGGCUAACUUCACAGAGGUCAUUUUGUCAAUGAAAUAGAUUACAGUGAUAUCUCCAAAG
rnacentral:misc_RNA from 1 species